rnacentral:rRNA from 1 species
AAAACUUUCAACAACGGAUCUCUUGGUUCUGGCAUCGAUGAAGAACGCAGCGAAAUGCGAUAAGUAAUGUGAAUUGCAGAAUUCAGUGAAUCNUCGAAUCUUUGAACGCACAUUGCGCCCGCCAGUAUUCUGGCGGGCAUGCCUGUCCGAGCGUCAUUU